rnacentral:rRNA from 1 species
GUAGGUGGCAAGCGUUGUCCGGAAUUAUUGGGCGUAAAGCGCGCGCAGGUGGGUUCUUUAAGUCUGAUGUGAAAGCCCCCGGGCUCAACCGGGGAGGGUCAUUGGAAACUGGGGAACUUGAGUGCAGGAGAGGAAAGUGGAAUUCCACGUGUAGCGGUGAAAUGCGUAGAUAUGUGGAGGAACACCAGUGGCGAAGGCGACUUUCUGGCCUGUAACUGACACUGAGGCGCGAAAGCGUGGGGAGCAAACAGGAUUAGAUACCCUGGUAGUCCACGCCGUAAACGAUGAGUGCUAAGUGUUGGGGGGUUUCCGGCCCCUCAGUGCUGCAGCUAACGCAUUAAGCACUCCGCCUGGGGAGUACGGUCGCAAGACUG